UGUGACCUCAAAUCAGGUAGGACUACCCGCUGAACUUAAGCAUAUCAAUAAGCGGAGGAAAAGAAACUAACAAGGAUUCCCCUAGUAACUGCGAGUGAAGCGGGAAAAGCUCAAAUUUAAAAUCUGGCAGUCUUUGGCUGUCCGAGUUGUAAUCUAGAGAAGUGUUAUCCGCGCUGGACCGUGUACAAGUCUCCUGGAAUGGAGCAUCAUAGAGGGUGAGAAUCCCGUCUUUGACAUGGACUGCCAGGGCUUUGUGAUGCGCUCUCAAAGAGUCGAGUUGUUUGGGAAUGCAGCUCAAAAUGGGUGGUAAAUUCCAUCUAAAGCUAAAUAUUGGCGAGAGACCGAUAGCGAACAAGUACCGUGAGGGAAAGAUGAAAAGAACUUUGGAAAGAGAGUUAAACAGUACGUGAAAUUGCUGAAAGGGAAACGCUUGAAGUCAGUCGCGUCGUCCAGGGAUCAACCUUGCUUUUGCUUGGUGCACUUUCUGGUUCGAUGGGUCAGCAUCAAUUUUGACUGUUGGAAAAAGGUCAAGGGAAUGUGGCAUCUUUGGAUGUGUUAUAGCCCUUGGUCACAUACAAUGGUUGGGAUUGAGGAACUCAGCACGCCGCAAGGCCGGGUUUUAAACCACGUACGUGCUUAGGAUGCUGGCAAUAUGGCUUUAAUCGACCCGUCUUGAAACACGGACCAAGGAGUCUAACAUGCCUGCGAGUGUUUGGGUGGAAAACCCGAGCGCGUAAUGAAAGUGAAAAGUUGAGAUCCCUGUCGUGGGGAGCAUCGACGCCCGGACCAGACCUUUUGUGACGGUUCCGCGGUAGAGCAUGUAUGUUGGGACCCGAAAGAUGGUGAACUAUGCCUGAAUAGGGUGAAUCCAGAGGAAACUCUGGUGGAGGCUCGUAGCGAUUCUGACGUGCAAAUCGAUCGUCAAAUUUGGGUAUAGGGGCGAAAGACUA
rnacentral:rRNA from 1 species